rnacentral:lncRNA from 1 species
GGUUUUCAGGAUCAUUCAUUUGAUCAUCAGUAGUUCACGACCUCUAUGCGUAGAACAUCCCCCUCUUUUAUUCUUGUACUCGUAAGUUAGCCACCUCAAUAUAUGCUUAGUUGCUUGCUGCAGACUCACCACUUAACCAUACCUCACCCAUUAAGCUUUGCUAGUCUUGAUACCUUUGGAAAUGAGAUUUCUAUAUCCAUGUGUCUCAGAGAUUACUACAAGAACAGUUGCAGGUACUGGUAAAGCAAUACUUUGAUGUGAGCGCGAUGAUUGUUCUAUUUGGAGUUUCUUCUCCUUCUUCAUCGAUCUAGGAUGAGUUCCAGGCCGGCAGCCUCGGAUAACAAGGAUUGACGUCGUUCUUUUAUUGUUUGUUCUCGUCCUUAGUCGGACCCUACUCUUCUGCAUGAUGAUUGAUAAUGUUGUUGUAUUAAUGUGAACCUGAUGUAGCUUGUGGAGAGCGUAAGCCAAUUCCAUAUACUCAUCCUUGCAGGACAUGUACUUGUAACGAUAUCCAUUCUUGCAAAACGACGAGAUGUGCUUCUAUCCCUGU